UAUGAGAGUUUGAUCCUGGCUCAGGAUGAACGCCGGCGGUGUGCCUAAUACAUGCAAGUCGUACGCACUGGCCCAACUGAUUGAUGGUGCUUGCACCUGAUUGACGAUGGAUCACCAGUGAGUGGCGGACGGGUGAGUAACACGUAGGUAACCUGCCCCGGAGCGGGGGAUAACAUUUGGAAACAGAUGCUAAUACCGCAUAACAACAAAAGCCACAUGGCUUUUCUUUGAAAGAUGGCUUUGGCUAUCACUCUGGGAUGGACCUGCGGUGCAUUAGCUAGUUGGUAAGGUAACGGCUUACCAAGGCGAUGAUGCAUAGCCGAGUUGAGAGACUGAUCGGCCACAAUGGAACUGAGACACGGUCCAUACUCCUACGGGAGGCAGCAGUAGGGAAUCUUCCACAAUGGGCGCAAGCCUGAUGGAGCAACACCGCGUGAGUGAAGAAGGGUUUCGGCUCGUAAAGCUCUGUUGUUGGAGAAGAACGUGCGUGAGAGUAACUGUUCACGCAGUGACGGUAUCCAACCAGAAAGUCACGGCUAACUACGUGCCAGCAGCCGCGGUAAUACGUAGGUGGCAAGCGUUAUCCGGAUUUAUUGGGCGUAAAGCGAGCGCAGGCGGUUGCUUAGGUCUGAUGUGAAAGCCUUCGGCUUAACCGAAGAAGUGCAUCGGAAACCGGGCGACUUGAGUGCAGAAGAGGACAGUGGAACUCCAUGUGUAGCGGUGGAAUGCGUAGAUAUAUGGAAGAACACCAGUGGCGAAGGCGGCUGUCUGGUCUGCAACUGACGCUGAGGCUCGAAAGCAUGGGUAGCGAACAGGAUUAGAUACCCUGGUAGUCCAUGCCGUAAACGAUGAGUGCUAGGUGUUGGAGGGUUUCCGCCCUUCAGUGCCGGAGCUAACGCAUUAAGCACUCCGCCUGGGGAGUACGACCGCAAGGUUGAAACUCAAAGGAAUUGACGGGGGCCCGCACAAGCGGUGGAGCAUGUGGUUUAAUUCGAAGCUACGCGAAGAACCUUACCAGGUCUUGACAUCUUGCGCUAACCUUAGAGAUAAGGCGCUCCCUUCGGGGACGCAAUGACAGGUGGUGCAUGGUCGUCGUCAGCUCGUGUCGUGAGAUGUUGGGUUAAGUCCCGCAACGAGCGCAACCCUUGUUACUAGUUG
rnacentral:rRNA from 1 species